rnacentral:rRNA from 1 species
UGGGGAUUAUUGCACAAUGGGCGCAAGCCUGAUGCAGCCAUGCCUCGUGUGUGAAGAAGGCCUUCGGGUUGUAAAGCACUUUCAGCGGGGAGGAAGGCGUUAAGGUUAACAACCUUGGCGAUUGACGUUACCCGCAGAAGAAGCACCGGCUAACUCCGUGCCAGCAGCCGCGGUAAUACGGAGGGUGCAAGCGUUAAUCGGAAUUACUGGGCGUAAAGCGCACGCAGGCGGUCUGUCAAGUCGGGUGUGAAAUCCCCGGGCUCAACCUGGGAACUGCAUUCGAAACUGGCAGGCUAGAGUCUUGUAGAGGGGGGUAGAAUGCCAGGUGUAGCGGUGAAAUGCGUAGAGAUCUGGAGGAAUAACUGUGGCGAAGGCGGCCCCCUGGACAAAGACUGACGCUCAGGUGCGAAAGCGUGGGGAGCAAACAGG